AGCUUAGUUGACAUGGCAACCACAAGCGUACGGCGCCGAACCCGAACAUGUGUGGACGGUGGUAAUGGUGAUAGUGAUGGCAGAUCAGAGUCACAUAUUGUGGACGGUGGUGAUAGCAGACCAGGGUCACAGAGUGUGGACGGUGGUGAUGGCAGACCAGGGUCACACAGUGCAGAUGGACACACAGCAGAGGAGGGUCAUGGAGCAGAAGAGAGGAAUGAAACGGCAUUGGAGCAUGACGCAUCCUCAUCAGCUGCACCAGUGGCAGUACCAGCCCAGAGGCCCAUACCAUUCCUUGCAAUGGUGGUGGGGUUGAGUCUUCUUAUCAUUGGUGCCAUCAGUGUCUACUACGGUUUCAGCUCACCAACUACACUCCACAUGGAUCGUGCUGAAAAGCUGUCGAAGAUUGGCUACGCCAAUGGCAACAAAAAAAACGCACCGAUCCUUGCAGCGACCACAGCAAACACUGUUGAUAACAGUCCGUGCGUCAGAUUCGCUGUGCCUGGACACCAGGCUCGCACGCGCGGCCAGGCACAGCGCGCAUUAGUUCUUCCGCCUGUUUCUACGCAAUAUGGCAUGCGUUCUAUUUCUUUCCUGGCGGCAGACAGAUGGAAUGCUCUUCCCACUGACUGCCGUCAGGCCCCGUCUCUUACUCUGUAUGUAAACAUGGUAAAAAUUCACCUAGGGUUCCCAGUAAAAAGGCAACGCCUGUUGGGACUCCCCUAGUAAAAUAAUAAAAUCUACUACUACUACUACUACUAGAUUCAAAAUAUCGGACUCUAUCCGUUAUUUUAUUUUUCAAGAGUCAGUCUACUUUGAACGUUUUGAGCAAUUUCUUUAUUUGAAUUGUUAGUUUCUAGUCAUUGCAAGGUGGGCCUUACAAGGCCCUUAUUCGUUCGAGUUCAGACCUGACACGCCGUCCAUCGCCGGAUAAGGCAAACUUCUAUCCUCAGUUUCGAACGUUUUCUCGCGGGGUGCUUCUGUCCCAUGCAGCAUCACGUCUUCUCCGAUUGUCGAAAUUUGAUUUUUUCUUUACGCAGGACUUUAGUUUAGUGCCGUCAAGUAUUCCAGGCACGCGUAGUAACACCCACUACAACAUCCAGAAGAACAAGCCUUAGUCUUUUAGUAUGUGGUCUCUCGCCGGUGUCCAAGACCAAAUAACACCACACCGACCAAUUUUCUAACCUCUGUUUUCUCGCUAUUUACAUGUAUUUGGAGGACAGCUGGAAACAUGUAGCACUCACAAUGAACACAUCAGGACGGUGCAAUAAUGCCACUCAGCUAUACCCUGGGCGUGUUUGCAUUCCUGUCUGCGAGUUAUGCCAAGCAACUCGUCUGGACACCAGUGCACAUAUCCGACAAAUGCAGAAUAUUGGAAUAUUUUGGUAAAAUAGUGAACGGCGAAAGACAAAAACCCAAAUUGCAGCUACCUACAGACUAAUAUCCACACAUGCUGGCCGUGUAAAGGAGUGUCAAUGAGAAUCUUCAUUGUAUUACUACAGAAGUGUCGUUUUCCAGGUGCCUUCUACCACCCCAUCAUCCCCUCUUCUCUGCCGACUUGCUCUUCUUACUCUUACUCAGAUAUAUCAGCAAAAAUUAUUAUUUUUUGUUCACAGAUGUCUUGGUGCUAAAAUAAUCAGUAGUCUUUUCAGCACUUUCUUUGAUUUAGUCAAUGGUCAGGCCACGCGUGGUCAGGCUUCACGUCUGCUUCGUGUCCCGUUUUUGCCAGGUCCUUCCGGUCGAUCCACUGUUCAGUUCAUUGGUAGUGUGUACUGGAACUGCCUGCCGGCUGAUGUCCACUCCAUCACAACUCCUUCUGCAUUUAAGAAAGCAAUUACAAACGAUAUCUGAAACUCUCUUAUCCUCUCCUAAGAUCUCAAAGACGCAUAACUAUCAACAUUCCCUCAACCCUGGAACCUUUGCAUCCGUUGCAUUUUUUUCAUGAAAAAUUCAUCAAAUUCCAAUUCGUUACUUGUAGUACUCCCUCAUUGAUUUGUUUCCGUCUUCUCUUUGUGCCUUGUUCAUGAUUGUAUUUUCCUCUUCCUCCUUUUCUUAUAUCACCACCUUCAUCAUUUUGCGAGAACUGUGGCAAUACGCCCAGUGAGAAGGCAGAUUUUGCCUGUG